rnacentral:rRNA from 1 species
GGUAACGGCGAGUGAAGCGGUAACAGCUCAAAUUUGAAAUCUGGCUCCUCGGGGCCCGAAUUGUAAUUUGUAGAAGAUGCUUUGGGUCUGGGCCUGGCCUAAGUUCCUUGGAACAGGACGUCGUAGAGGGUGAGAAUCCCGUAUGCGGCUGGCGCCCGUGCCCGUGUAAAGCUCUUUCGACGAGUCGAGUUGUUUGGGAAUGCAGCUCUAAAUGGGUGGUAAAUUUCAUCUAAAGCUAAAUAUUGGCCAGAGACCGAUAGCGCACAAGUAGAGUGAUCGAAAGAUGAAAAGCACUUUGGAAAGAGAGUUAAACAGUACGUGAAAUUGUUGAAAGGGAAGCGCUGGCAACCAGACUUGGGCGCUGUUGAUCCGCUAGGGUUCUCUCUAGGGCACUCGGCAGCGCGCAGGCCAGCAUCGGUUUGGGGGGUUGGAGAAUGGCUGGUGGAAUGUGGCUGUCUUCGGGCAGUGUUAUAGCCACCGGUGGCUUGCAGCCUCCCCGGACCGAGGACCGCGCUUCGGCUAGGAUGCUGGCGUAAUGGUUGUCAGCGACCCGUCUUGAAACACGGACCAAGGAGUCUAACAUCUAUGCGAGUGUUUGGGUGUUAAACCCAUACGCGGAAUGAAAGUGAACGUAGGUGAGAACCCGUAAGGGUGCAUCAUCGACCGAUCCUGAUGUCUUCGGAUGGAUUUGAGUAAGAGCAUAGCUGUUGGGACCCGAAAGA